GACGAACGCUGGCGGCGUGCCUAAUACAUGCAAGUCGAACGAACUCUGGUAUUGAUUGGUGCUUGCAUCAUGAUUUACAUUUGAGUGAGUGGCGAACUGGUGAGUAACACGUGGGAAACCUGCCCAGAAGCGGGGGAUAACACCUGGAAACAGAUGCUAAUACCGCAUAACAACUUGGACCGCAUGGUCCGAGUUUGAAAGAUGGCUUCGGCUAUCACUUUUGGAUGGUCCCGCGGCGUAUUAGCUAGAUGGUGGGGUAACGGCUCACCAUGGCAAUGAUACGUAGCCGACCUGAGAGGGUAAUCGGCCACAUUGGGACUGAGACACGGCCCAAACUCCUACGGGAGGCAGCAGUAGGGAAUCUUCCACAAUGGACGAAAGUCUGAUGGAGCAACGCCGCGUGAGUGAAGAAGGGUUUCGGCUCGUAAAACUCUGUUGUUAAAGAAGAACAUAUCUGAGAGUAACUGUUCAGGUAUUGACGGUAUUUAACCAGAAAGCCACGGCUAACUACGUGCCAGCAGCCGCGGUAAUACGUAGGUGGCAAGCGUUGUCCGGAUUUAUUGGGCGUAAAGCGAGCGCAGGCGGUUUUUUAAGUCUGAUGUGAAAGCCUUCGGCUCAACCGAAGAAGUGCAUCGGAAACUGGGAAACUUGAGUGCAGAAGAGGACAGUGGAACUCCAUGUGUAGCGGUGAAAUGCGUAGAUAUAUGGAAGAACACCAGUGGCGAAGGCGGCUGUCUGGUCUGUAACUGACGCUGAGGCUCGAAAGUAUGGGUAGCAAACAGGAUUAGAUACCCUGGUAGUCCAUACCGUAAACGAUGAAUGCUAUAAGGUGUUGGAGGGUUUCCGCCCUUCAGUGCUGCAGCUAACGCAUUAAGCAUUCCGCCUGGGGAGUACGGCCGCAAGGCUGAAACUCAAAGGAAUUGACGGGGGCCCGCACAAGCGGUGGAGCAUGUGGUUUAAUUCGAAGCUACGCGAAGAACCUUACCAGGUCUUGACAUACUAUGCAAAUCUAAGAGAUUAGACGUUUCCUUCGGGGACAUGGAUACAGGUGGUGCAUGGUUGUCGUCAGCUCGUGUCGUGAGAUGUUGGGUUAAGUCCCGCAACGAGCGCAACCCUUAUUAUCAGUUGCCAGCAUUAAGUUGGGCACUCUGGUGAGACUGCCGGUGACAAACCGGAGGAAGGUGGGGAUGACGUCAAAUCAUCAUGCCCCUUAUGACCUGGGCUACACACGUGCUACAAUGGAUGGUACAACGAGUUGCGAACUCGCGAGAGUAAGCUAAUCUCUUAAAGCCAUUCUCAGUUCGGAUUGUAGGCUGCAACUCGCCUACAUGAAGUCGGAAUCGCUAGUAAUCGCGGAUCAGCAUGCCGCGGUGAAUACGUUCCCGGGCCUUGUACACACCGCCCGUCACACCAUGAGAGUUUGUAACACCCAAAGUCGGUGGGGUAACCUUUUAGGAACCAGCCGCCUAAGGUGGGACAGAUGAUUAGGGUG
rnacentral:rRNA from 1 species